AAUCAACGCUGGCGGCGUGCCUCAGACAUGCAAGUCGAACGCGAAAGGCCCCUUCGGGGGCCGAGUAGAGUGGCGUCCGGGUGAGUAACACGUGGGUAAUCUACCUUCGGGUGGGGAAUAACGACCGGAAACGGUCGCUAAUACCGCAUAAUGCAGCGGCACCUAAUGGUGACAGUUGUUAAAGCGGGGGAGUCGCAAGACCUCGCGCCUGAAGAGGAGCCCGCGGCGGAUUAGCUAGUUGGCAGGGUAACGGCCUACCAAGGCGACGAUCCGUAGCCGGCCUGAGAGGGCGCACGGCCACACUGGAACUGAAACACGGUCCAGACUCCUACGGGAGGCAGCAGUGGGGAAUUUUGCGCAAUGGGGGAAACCCUGACGCAGCAAUGCCGCGUGGAGGAUGAAGUCCUUUUGGGAUGUAAACUCCUUUCGAUCGGGAAGAUAAUGGCGGUACCGGAAGAAGAAGCCCCGGCUAACUCUGUGCCAGCAGCCGCUGU
rnacentral:rRNA from 1 species